rnacentral:rRNA from 1 species
GAUGAACGCUGGCGGCGUGCCUAAUACAUGCAAGUCGAGCGAACGGACGAGAAGCUUGCUUCUCUGAUGUUAGCUGCGGACGGGUGAGUAACACGUGGAUAACCUACCUAUAAGACUGGGAUAACUUCGGGAAACCGUAGCUAAUACCGGAUAAUAUUUUGAACCGCAUGGUUCAAAAGUGAAAGACGGUCUUGCUGUCACUUAUAGAUGGAUCCGCGCUGCAUUAGCUAGUUGGUAAGGUAACGGCUUACCAAGGCAACGAUGCAUAGCCGACCUGAGAGGGUGAUCGGCAACACUGGAACUGAGACACGGUCAAGACUCCUACGGGAGGCAGAAGAAGGGAAUCUUCGGAAAUGGGCGAAAGCCUGACGGAGAAACGCCGCGUGAGUGAUGAAGGUCUUCGGAUCGUAAAACUCUGUUAUUAGGGAAGAACAUAUGUGUAAGUAACUGUGCACAUCUUGACGGUACCUAAUCAGAAAGCCACGGCUAACUACGUG